UCCCGAGUCCCAGCCCGAAUCGGAGCGCGGGGCGGAGUCUGCACCGCCGGUCAGCCCGCCCUGAGCAUCCGCUCCCUGGGUGACGCCCCUCCGGGUGGGAUGGAGCGGUUGGGGGGAAUCUGAGAGCCUGAGAAAGGUCACACGGAAGCCUGUGUGUGCGUGGAGCUUAGAUUCACUCUUCCCACCUGACCUCCAGAGAAAUAGCAGAUACCAUGGCUUCUCUACUCAGGAUUUGGAGUGUCGCUUCCUCCCAAGCCCCUGGAACACCACUGCUGCAACCUGCCUCCUCAGCUCCCUCAAGAAACGUUCCUGAGAUCUUCUGCUAUGUGUGACUCUCGGUUCCCCCCUCCCUACUUCACCCCUUGUCAGCUUGAAGUAGCCUCGAGAAUUCAGGGCCCUUGUCCCCCCACUUGCUUCCCGAAUUCACCUCUUUUUAUACUAAUUAAAACGGAGGAAUGUUAAUAUUCUGAUUCGCCCCUCAAAAUCCCA